GCUGGCGACAUGCCUAACACAUGCAAGUCGAACGCUUUUGGGGUUUCGGCCUCAAGGGAGUGGCGCACGGGUGAGUAGCGCGUGGGAACCUGCCCUGUUGUGGGGGAUAACCGAGGGAAACUUCGGCUAAUACCGCAUGCGCCCGGGGAAACCCGGGGAAAGAUUUUAUCGCAGCAGGAGGGGCCCGCGUCGGAUUAGCUAGUUGGUGGGGUAACGGCCUACCAAGGCGGCGAUCCGUAGCUGGUCUGAGAGGAUGAUCAGCCACACUGGGACUGAGACACGGCCCAGACUCCUACGGGAGGCAGCAGUGGGGAAUAUUGGACAAUGGGCGCAAGCCUGAUCCAGCAAUGCCGCGUGAGUGAUGAAGGCCUUAGGGUUGUAAAGCUCUUUCGCCCGCGACGAUGAUGACGGUAGCGGGAGAAGAAGCCCCGGCUAACUUCGUGCCAGCAGCCGCGGUAAUACGAAGGGGGCGAGCGUUGUUCGGAUUUACUGGGCGUAAAGGGCGCGUA
rnacentral:rRNA from 1 species